UACGUAGGGUGCGAGCGUUAAUCGGAAUUACUGGGCGUAAAGCGUGCGUAGGCGGUUCUCCAAGUCCGUUGUGAAAGCCCCGGGCUCAACCUGGGGAAUUGCGCGCGAAACGGGGGGGGCUUGAGUUCGGGAGAGGAGCGUGGAAUUCCCAGUGUAGAGGUGAAAUUCGUAGAUAUUGGGAAGAACACCGGUGGCGAAGGCGGCGCUCUGGACCGAGACUGACGCUGAGGCGCGAAAGCGUGGGGAGCAAACAGG
rnacentral:rRNA from 1 species